rnacentral:rRNA from 1 species
UACGUAGGGUGCGAGCGUUAAUCGGAAUUACUGGGCGUAAAGCGUGCGCAGGCGGCUUUGCAAGACAGAUGUGAAAUCCCCGGGCUCAACCUGGGAACUGCAUUUGUGACUGCAAGGCUAGAGUACGGCAGAGGGGGAUGGAAUUCCGCGUGUAGCAGUGAAACGCGUAGAUAUGCGGAGGAACACCAAUGGCGAAGGCAAUCCCCUGGGCCUGUACUGACGCUCAUGCACGAAAGCGUGGGGAGAAAACAGG